rnacentral:rRNA from 1 species
UACGGAGGAUGCAAGCGUUAUCCGGAUUUAUUGGGUUUAAAGGGUGCGCAGGUGGUUUAAUAAGUCAGUGGUGAAAGUCUGCCGCUUAACGGUAGGAUUGCCAUUGAUACUGUUGGACUUGAAUAUGGAUGAGGUAGGCGGAAUGUGUAGUGUAGCGGUGAAAUGCUUAGAUAUUACACAGAACACCGAUUGCGAAGGCAGCUUACUAAUCCAUGAUUGACGCUGAGGCACGAAAGCGUGGGGAGUCAAACAGGAUUAGA